rnacentral:rRNA from 1 species
AUACGUAGGGAGCGAGCGUUACCCGGAAUUACUGGGCGUAAAGAGCACGUAGGCGGUUGGAUAAGUCUUCUGUGAAAGCUCCUGGCUCAACUGGGAGAGGUCAGGGGAUACUAUUCGACUUGAGGGCUGUAGAGGUAAGCGGAAUUCCCGGUGUAGCGGUGAAAUGCGUAGAUAUCGGGAGGAGCACCAGCGGCGAAAGCGGCUUACUGGGCAGUGCCUGACGCUGAGGUGCGAGAGCGUGGGGAGCAAACUGGAUUAGAAACCCCAGUAGUCC